rnacentral:rRNA from 1 species
GACGAACGCUGGCGGCGUGCUUAACACAUGCAAGUCGAACGGAAAGGCCUUUUCGGAGGUACUCGAGUGGCGAACGGGUGAGUAACACGUGGGUGAUCUGCCCUGCACUCUGGGAUAAGCCUGGGAAACUGGGUCUAAUACCGGAUAGGACCGCACUUUAGUGUGUGUGGUGGAAAGUUUUUUCGGUGUAGGAUGAGCCCGCGGCCUAUCAGCUUGUUGGUGGGGUAAAGGCCUACCAAGGCGGCGACGGGUAGCCGGACUGAGAGGUUGGUCGGCCACAUUGGGACUGAGAUACGGCCCAGACUCCUACGGGAGGCAGCAGUGGGGAAUAUUGCACAAUGGGCGCAAGCCUGAUGCAGCGACGCCGCGUGGGGGAUGACGGCCUUCGGGUUGUAAACUCCUUUCGCCAGGGACGAAGCGUUUUGUGACGGUACCUGGAGAAGAAGCACCGGCUAACUACGUG